UUCAACUCCUACUCAUGGCUCUAGCUAGCAGACAGCUGCCCCUGACACUCUAGGGAGCACACACCCAACAGAGACUUCUGGAAGUCGAUAUGAUGGGAAGAUUGGGAUUCUGGUCAGUAAGCCCUGUGGUCAGCACAGUUCCAAGGACAAAAGACUCAAAUCCCAGCUCUAAUCCCAGUCUAAGGCUAACCUUGGACAGGAGAGACCACACCCCACCCUGAGGACUGUGAACACCCCAUAAACCCUCUGCUGUCUUGCCUCUCCCCUGUUGGCUGGGAAGCGAAGGUGUGAACAGAACCCUGCUUAGCUUGAAGCUUUUCUUCCGAAGCAUUUCCAAAGAACAGAAGACUAGGCAGCAUGAUGAAAACCCAAGACUUGAUUUUUCUUUUCCUUAAUGGCACUAGAGAUGGUUUGCAGGGCUUGUAUAUGUUAUAUAUGUUAGCUCUUACCACUGAGCUAGCUAGCCUUCAUUCUUGAGACUGUUUCUAAAGGGUCUGAUCUAGGGAAGGGACAUGAAUCCCUGGAGACAAUAACCCAAGGACAGACCUCCUGAGUGUGAGAGGAGACUACUUUCAUGCCACCAACUCCUAGGCUCUCCCUCAUAGCCAGAACAUUCUAGUACCGAAUAGGUAGGGUCCAGAGUCAAGUUCCAGUAUCCUGGGCACAUCUGGUGCCAACUUUUCUAUCUACCACUUUCCCCAAGACUGAGGGAGAGGAGGCCUUCCAAUUGACUGUCCCUGGGGCAGGUCUGCAGAGCUAACCUUAGGGAAAUGGGCAGCAUGCCCAUGACGGGGAUCUGACUUUGCUGAGGCAGGAGGAUGUGGGAGGUGAGCUCUGCCACCUAGGGGCCCAGGUGAACUUAUGCGUGUGUUCCUAUUGGCAAUAGUUGACUGCCCUAGCCUAGAUCAGCCCUGCUGGGCCUCAUCUACUCCCAUGGCCCUGGAGCAGAUCCCACUCAUAUGUUCCCUAAUGGCACCAGUGGUCUCUGUAAGUGAACUUUAGGACAGCAUCAAGUAUAGUUUGUUGUCUAGAAAACACAAAGGCCUAGAUCCCCGUGCUCCAAGGGAUGGCAUGUACCUCCUAGGACAAGACAGUCAGCUAGGCUUAUACCAGACUGCUGCAUUCUAGCCCAAGUCAAGACAUGAGGAAGCUGGAUCACCCAACUCUAGGGUCUUAAGAGAGCUCUGCUUCAGAAUUCUCUGUUCCAUAGAUCCUCCUGGGAACAUCCUUGGUGGCCUUUGCUAGCCUGUCUCCCACCUGCUGCCUGCAAGAUAGGGGUCACCCCUGCGGUGCCAGGGCUAUCCAAACUCUCAGGGUUUGGACCUUUAUUGUGAAAUGGUUUCCUUCAAGAUUAAAACAUUCCAAACUAAAGGGAAGCUCCUAAAACAAGGAGGUGAACAACUCACAAUAGCUUCAGGAAGUCCCUGAAACUGACCAGAUUUACUCAGUGGUAAUAAAGACUGCGGAGAGUCACUCUUGCCUACUGAAACCAGACCAACUUUCUGGGAGAAGCAGAAACCAGUCGAGCAGCCUAGAAGAGUUUUAGACCAGAGGAUACUCUCCGACCUGUUGAGCUGCCUGCAGACUGUACAGAUUCCCAGCACUGUGAACUGUCACCCAUGCCGGGGUGGACCUUGGUCGUGCAGCUGUCUGAGUCAUUUCUGCUCCUCCGAUUCCAACUGUCUGCUCUCCAGGGAAGCUAACUGAUGCCUCAGGCUGAUCUGAGCCCCAGGAAACAAUGGCCUCACAGAGGUGGCAGAUGCAAGCAUGCCCAACACAAUAGAAGCGAUUUGGGAAGGAUGGUACCAUGCAGGGAGGCAGAUGCAUAUGCUGAAAGGAUGGAGAUGAAACAGAGAUGUGGAUCGGACAAAUGCCUGUCUUCUCCUCAGAGGAGGUGGCAGGAAAUGCAGGCACAGAUGCAAGGAGUGCCCCUCCAGCCCACUCCUACAGUUCAGUUCCUGCAAAGCUCCUCCCUCUGCUAAGAACCAAAAACUGUGACACAACAACCCAAUAAACCUUGGGAGACACUGUCCUUGCCCCACUAAGGUCCCCAGCAGGACCAGGGACCCAUGCUGUCAGAGUGAAGGCAACAAGAAGAAACCCCCAUUACUAGUGCAAGCCUCAACAGGGCCUGCCAGCCCUUUCUAUUGUCCCUCAGCGCCACCUUCCAUAGCCAACAACAGCAAUCCCUGCUGAAUAGGCUCUGGUAGUCCGGUUUCUGUGGACAACGGUUCUUAAUAGGCCACCACCUGGGGCAUUCAGACCCUUGCCAGCAUACCACUAAGCUCUGGCUCCUUGCCGAAAGCCAUGAGAGAACCUCUGUCACCAUAGCCAUAAAAGGAAGAGCAGAGAUCCACCUCCGUACAACCUCCUGGAACCUGAAGCCCUCAGAGCUCUGCUCCUAGGGGCUUGCAAUAUGCCAGCUCCUGGCCAGGGAACAUCCAUCCGAAAGGAGCCCGUGGGCACCCCUCUCUGAAGGGUUCAGAACGGGGAUCUGAUAAGCACCAGCUCUGGGGUUCCACAGCUGUCUUAGCCCUUAACACAGACACCCCCUCCAGGGGCAAGAGGCAUUCCAGCGGGACUAUUAGCCAAGUGGCAGUGCCUACAGCCCUCCAACGGACACCAAAAUCUAGUGCAGGGGACUCCUAACAGUGGGCCCUGAGGCCAGUGAUGGGCAACCUGCAGGACGGAGGACAAGAUGGCUCCAACUCCAACAAAGCUAAGAAGCCUAACUCUUCUCCUGUCCACCUCUCCAGUGCCACCCUCUCCCUUACCAUGCUGCUGAAUCUUGCCCCUUCCCCUAAAGAAUUGCAGGAGACUGGGCAAGGAUCUGGUGCCACCCUCUCCCAGAGCUCUCCCCAGGUCCUGGCGCUGACUCAGCUCAUGGUUGCUUCAUGCUGCCUGCUGCAGGCAUACUCCUAGCUCUUGACUCCGCAGCAGCAGCCCGGCCACUUGAAAGCCUGCAGGAUCCCAGAAUGCCAACAGGCAGCUUCUGAAACACGGACUCAGGCAGAAGAGCCAAGCCCUGGAGAGAAGCCAGGGAACUUUUUAUGUGGGUAAACAGUUAGAUAUGGCACAAGGUCCCUCUGGUAAUACCAAAUUCAAAGCCUGCAGAGCCGCUAUUGUAGCUGGAGUGGGUGUCCUUGGGACAGUGACAGGAGGCUGUUGGAAUAGCAGGAUGCUGGGCUCAGGCCCUGCCCAAACCCUGCCACUUUAAGUCGCACAUGCUGUGACACUUGACCUUUCCACUGGGGUGCUAAUGUGCAAGACUACGCUGUUAGUCUGAUUUCCUUUCCCUGUUCCUUGGACACCAGACAGCAGCCUGGUGAAGGUUCUCUCCACCUGCAACUUCCAGUGACGCCAGCAGGUGGUGCCCUCUCCCCAAACUGUUUGUGGAGUUCUCCAAUUGCAGAUGCCACCAAAGGACACAGAGCACCCCUC